rnacentral:ribozyme from 1 species
ACUCGUUAGGCGAGUAUAAAUAGACUAUUAAGCCCUAAGCGUCCCCAGUGUAUUAGCUGGGGGGAUAGA